GAUGAAGAACGUAGCGAAACGCGAUAUGUAAUGUGAAUUGCAGAAUUCAGUGAAUCAUCGAAUCUUUGAACGCACACGGCGCCUUCCAGUAUCCUGGGAGGCAUGCCUGUCCGAGCGUCGUUUCGACCCUCGAGCCCCCGUGGCCCGGCGUUGGGGAUCUGCCCAGGCAGUCCCCGAAAACCAGUGGCGGACCCGUUACAGGCCCUUCCCUUGCGUAGUAGCAUUCGCCUCGCAUCGGGAGCCGGCGGGCUUCCAGCCUCUAAACCCCCAUCAAGUCCGCCCCGGCGGCACCAAGGUUGACCUCGGAUCAGGUAGGAAUACCCGCUGAACUUAAGCAUAUCAAUAACGGAGGA
rnacentral:misc_RNA from 1 species